rnacentral:rRNA from 1 species
UGGGGAAUUUUGCACAAUGGGGGAAACCCUGAUGCAGCGACGCCGCGUGAUUUAGAAGGCCUUCGGGUUGUAAAAAUCUUUUCUAGGGGAAGAAAAUGACAGUACCAUAGGAAUAAGGACCGGCUAAUUACGUGCCAGCAGCCGCGGUAAUACGUAAGGUCCGAGCGUUGUCCGGAAUCAUUGGGGGUAAAGGGUACGUAGGCGGGUAAGCAAGUUAGAAGUGAAAUCCUAUAGCUCAACUAUAGUAAGCUUUUAAAACAGCUCAUCUUGAGGUAUGGAAGGGAAAGUGGAAUUCCUAGUGUAGCGGUGAAAUGCGCAGAUAUUAGGAGGAAUACCGGUGGCGAAGGCGACUUUCUGGCCAUAACCUGACGCUGAGGUACGAAAGCGUGGGUAGCAAACAGG